rnacentral:rRNA from 1 species
CAAUAGCGUAUAUUUAAGUUGUUGCAGUUAAAAAGCUCGUAGUCGGAUUUUGGCUGAGAACGAUCGGUCCGCCGUUAGGUGUGCACUGAUUGGUCUCAGCUUCCUGGUGAGGAGGUGUGCUUCACGGCCACUUAGUCACUGUGGUUACUUUGAAAAAAUUAGAGUGUUCAAAGCGGGCUUACGCUUGAAUAUAUUAGCAUGGAAUAACACCAUAGGACUCCUGUCCUAUUUCGUUGGUCUCGGGACGGGAGUAAUGAUUAAGAGGAACAGUUGGGGGCAUUCGUAUUUCAUUGUCAGAGGUGAAAUUCUUGGAUUUAUGAAAGACGAACUUCUGCGAAAGCAUUUGCCAAGGAUGUUUUCAUUGA